rnacentral:rRNA from 1 species
GACGAACGCUGGCGGCGUGCCUAACACAUGCAAGUCGAACGGAAAGGCCCUGCUUUUGUGGGGUUCCCGAGUGGCGAACGGGUGUGUAACACGUGAGUAACCCGCCCUUGUCUUUGUGAUAACUUUAGGAAACUGGGGCUAAUACCGGAUAGGAGCUCCUGCUGCAUGGGGGGGGUUGGAAAGUUUCGGCGGUUGGGGGUGGACUCGCGGCUUAUCAGCUUGUUGGUGGGGUAGUGGCUUACCAAGGCUUUGACGGGUAGCCGGCCUGAGAGGGUGACCGGCCACAUUGGGACUGAGAUACGGCCCAGACUCCUACGGGAGGCAGCAGUGGGGAAUAUUGCACAAUGGGCGGAAGCCUGAUGCAGCAACGCCGCGUGCGGGAUGACGGCCUUCGGGUUGUAAACCGCUUUCGCCUGUGACGAAGCGUGAGUGACGGUAAUGGGUAAAGAAGCACCGGCUAACUACGUG